rnacentral:rRNA from 1 species
AGGGCACCACCAGGAGUGGAGCCUGCGGCUUAAUUUGACUCAACACGGGAAAACUCACCCGGCCCGGACACUGGAAGGAUUGACAGAUUGAGAGCUCUUUCUUGAUUCAGUGGGUGGUGGUGCAUGGCCGUUCUUAGUUGGUGGAGUGAUUUGUCUGGUUAAUUCCGAUAACGAACGAGACUCUAGCCUACUAAAUAGAUCGUCAGCUUACAAACGCCGGCGAGACUUCUUAGAGGGACAGGCGGUGAUUCAACCGCACGAAACAGAGCAAUAACAGGUCUGUGAUGCCCUUAGAUGUCCGGGGCCGCACGCGCGCUACACUGAAGUGAUCAGCGUGCUUUUUCAACCUACUCUGUCAAGAGUGGGGAACCCAAUGAACCUUCUUCGUGAUUGGGAUAGGGGAUUGUAAUUGUUCCCCUUGAACGAGGAAUUCCCAGUAAGCGCGAGUCAUAAGCUCGCGUUGAUUACGUCCCUGCCCUUUGUACACACCGCCCGUCGCUACUACCGAUUGAAUGUUUU